GAGCUCAUUUCAGCAGCAUAGAUACUAAAAUUGGAACAAUACAGAAAAGAUUAGCAUGGGCCCCUGCAAAAAGAUAACACACAAAUUUGUGAAGAGUUCCAUUUUUUG